ensembl:lncRNA
GUGGGCUGCAGUUUUUAGGGUUGCAAAGAGUUGGAGAUGACUGAAGCGACCAAGCAGGCACGGGCACACCUCAUAUCUCUGUAGGACUCCCCACAGGCGAGUUCUCCUGGGCUGAGCAGCAGAAUUCAAUGGAAUGCAGGUCAGAAGUCAUCCUCGUUGGCAGAUGCACGCAGGGCAGCAGUCCCUGUGGCCGUCUCAGCCCUUGGUAUCAUGUCUGGCUCGAGCCAACACGAUCUGUCAUUCAGUUUCAAGAGCAUCUGACACACCUUUUCACGCCGAGAGCUAAUUGCUCUAUUUUCCAACCUGGAACUGUCCCUCUUGUGGUAUUUUUCCAAUCGCAGUGAUCUAUCUGUCUAGCCAGCAAGCACUGCCAAGCCAGAGCUAUUCUGGAGGGUGGCUGGGGUGGCGAGCAGGAGAAUUAUUCAGCCACACAGUAAACAAAGGGAAAUUCUCUCUGAAUCAGAAGUUCCAAAGCAAUAGCAUCAUUUCUUUAACCACACAUAUAGGAUAAUAAAAAUGGCUUGCCAUCCAUUUUUAAUCUGCAUGAAAUGAAGACACUCAAUCAUGAAAGUCAUGCAGGAGCUGCUUGCUUCAAACAAGGCAAUGAAUAUAUUACAAAAGUAAUUAAGUGAGAACCCAGGUGAAAUAGAGCAGUAUUCUAUACCAACAGUUCCCUGUAAUCAGAUAAAAACAAAACAACCCAUAGGUUAGAAACAGGAGGUAAAAGUGAAAACCAAGGCUGUAAGUAUGUAAAAAUAUAUAAGGUCCAUUGCAGAACAGAGACAGAGCUCAAAUUUCUAAUACCUCUCAUCAUGUUAUUUUUACUCUUUAGGACAGAGGAAACGGUAAGGACUCACUUUAAGCUGUACUAUAAUUUAUUAUCUUAUUAUUAGCAGUAACUGAUCACUUGCUAUGUAUAAAGCAUUUUGGCAAGAAGUAGCCAACUAAAAGCCAACUAAGUCACUUUGUGUCCAACUCUGCGACCCCAUGGACUGUGUCCCACCAGGCUCCUCUGCCCAUGGGAUUCUCCAGGCAAGAAGACUGGAGUGGGUUGCCAUUUCCGUCUCUAGGGGAUCUUUCUGACCUAGGGAUCAAACCGAGUCCCUUGCAUCUCUGGCAUUGGCAGGUGGGUUUUGUUUUUUUUUUAACUACUAGCACCAUUUGGGAAGCUCCAGUGGAGGAGGAUAAACUGGGGCAUGGAAAGUAGUCAGUAAGUUGAUGAGAGCUGGGGGUUGUGUUUGUCUGCUGAGGCUGCCAUCACCAAGCAUCUCAGACUUGGGGACUUAAACAACAGACACAGAUGGUCACAGUUCGGGAGGUUGGAAACCUGAGAUCAAGAGGUUAGCAGGGUGGGUUUCGUCUGAGUCUUCUCUCCUUGACUUGAAGGCGGCUGUCUUCUUCCUCUGUCUUCACUUGGUCUUGUGUGUGUGUGUGUGUCGGCAUCUUAAUCUCCUCUUCAUACAAAGACACCAGUCACAUUGUUAAUGUGUUAGGGACCACCCUAAUACCUCACUUUACCUUGAUCACCCCUUCAAAAGCCCCAUCUCCAAACACAGUCACAUUAUAUGGUACCAGGAGUUAGGACUAUAAGCUGUGAAUUUGUGGGGAGUGAGUGAAGUCGCUCAGUCGUGUCUGACUCUUUGCGACCCCGUGGACUGUAGCCCUCCAUCCAUGGGGUUUCCCAGGCAAGAAUACUGGAGUGGGUUGCCAUUUCCUUCUCCAGGGGAUCUUCCUGACCCAGGGAUUGAACCCAGGUCUCCCUCAUUGCAGGCAGACGCUUAAACCUCUGAGCCACCAGGGGAGGAGAGGGACACAAUUCAGUCCAUAACAGGGAUACUAGGGGCUUGAAUGAAGAUGGUUUCCUUGGGCAUGGAGAAGAAAGACACCUGGAGCCAUCAUGAAAGCAGAACUAACAACUCUCAGCGAAAGCCUGGAUAUUUUGGCGAGGGAGAAGAUGCCCAUGGAGACUGUAUUUCCUGAAAGAGGAGAGCUUGACACAAAAGGGAGACAAAAGGGAAGGAAAGGAAGCUGGAAACAAAGAAACCAAAGAUGGUCUCAGGUGAACAGAAGAAGAAGCAGGCCACUGGACUCACUCUGCAGAUUUGGGAGGGCUCACGUUUUCCUUUUAGUUAAGAUGAGAAUGCUUAGAGAGCACAAGUGAUUGGGAAGACACAUGAAAAUGCAGAAGAUGGAAAACAAGGGAUUCCCCCAUUCCCAAGGGUAGUCUCAAUUUUCUUGGUAAAGCUCAAGACAUGUUGUGGUAGGAACAUCUGGGUUGUUAGUUAAGGAACUCAAGUUUCAUGUUUGAGAAUCAAAAAGGGUGUUGGGGUCCCAGCUCUGAGCUUUCCCUUCUCCGAAAUGCUGUUUUUCUAGAAGAGGAAGUCCCUCUCCCUGAGCUUCACCUGAGAUAUGAAUGUACAGAGAGAGAGUGAAGUCACUCAGUCAUGCCUGACUCUUUGCCACCCCAUGGACUGUAGACUACCAGGCUCCUCCCUCCAUGGGAUUCUGUGGGUUGCCAUUUCCUUCUCCAGGGGAUCUUCCCGACCCAGGGAUCGAACCUUGGUCUCCUGCAUUCCAGGCAGACACUUUAACCUCUGAGCCACCAGGGAAGUCCUACGAAUGUACAAGCAUCCUGCAAACUAGAAAAUCCUCUGAACUCAAGGGCUGUUAGUCAUUGUUUUCCUUAUUUAUUAUGUGAGUGGGAUGGUGACCCACAAAGCAGACUCUUCAGAACCGUCCUGGAUCUAAAUGAUUCUCAUCCUUCAGAUGUCCCGGCGCCUGCUCCUCAGACCAGACUGAGCUGAAAUAGGCCUACUUUCCCCUGUUCCCCAGAGCUUCCCACCUCGACCAUGGGACCUUGAACUCGGUACUUUCCAAACACGAGUUACUGAAGCAUCUCACCACAGUGUCCAAAAUAAUUUAGUGCCCACCCAGAGAGAUAACAUGAAGCUAGCUGCUGGCACUUCAUAAAUUACUUCUGUUUCUUGCAUUUUUUAUAUCAGGAUGUCAUAUUCUCUUCUAAUCUCAUAUAUCACUUCGGGACACAAUGUCACUCUUGAAUUUUUGAAAUAUUGUAGAAAAGAUCUUCACUUUUUUAAUACAUAUCAAUGACUCUUAUUAUUAAAAAAUUGUCACUAUUACUUUUGGAUCGAUGAACAGGUUGGUUUCCCAAAAAAAGCCCAAUGUUUUCCCCAAGAUAAAAAUAAUCUAUUAUAAAAAUGAUGUAAAUUUAUUGGGUUUCUAGGUCAGCCAACAAAUAUCUACAUAAUCUUAAUCAAGAACAGACACCACAGCCUUGAAACACCCCUUUCAAGCCACAGGAAAGCAUUUUGUCUACCAGCUUCCUCAGAAGCAGAGAGAAUAUUCUUUCUCAGAAACACACAUCUCAGGGCUCCAACCUGGGUCACAUGUCCAUUGCUAAAUACUUUCUCUGGAACGGGGUGUGGGCCUUGACUUCAGCCAAUCAGGAGUGGAGUGAUGUAAGACCUCCCUGAAACUCCAGGACUGAUAGGAGGGAGGAUCAAUCAAUACCUAAAUAAAGGAGAAACUAGAUUAUUUCCCAAUUAAUUUAUUUAUUGAAAUAAAUAGGUAGAGGUGAUAGUAUGCCGAGAAGUCAUCAAAGAUUUGAAGAUGUAGAUUUGAAGAGUUCAUUUUCCUUUUUACCAAAAAUUCAGGUAGGGUUUCUCAUUCUUAGGUCUUUUAGACUCUCAUUCAAAAAUCCAUUAAUAGUAUAUGUGAACACUGGCUGUAUACAAGUCACUCUGCUAGGCUUUGUGGGGAGUACAGCGAAAUAUAAAAUAUGACAACAACCUUUGAGGUGUUUAUAACUUAGUUGAGAAGAGAAAUCACAUAGAGUAAAAAAGAAGAGAAAAACUCGAACAGACAAAGCCAUCAUAUUAUGUUUCAAAUAAUCCUGGAAGGAUCACUGUGGUCUGGGGUCGUGGGGGAGACUUUGGACUUCAGCUGGAUCUUGAGAAAGAAAGAAGGUCUAGACCGUGGUAAAGGAUGUUCUGUGCUCCACUAAAUGGGAAAAGCAAAGUGGUCUGCUGUGAAAACUCAUCAGAGACCUCACUGGAGAUGGCCACGUGCUGACUCCUCCCCUCCAGCCUCCGUCAGGGAACCUUGGACUCACUGAGUCUCCUCUGCCUCCAUCACAUUGCUUCUCUCUCUCUGUGAUCUUCUGGCCAGUGAAUCUAAACGGGGUUCUUCUCCUCAAUUUUUAGCCAUGCGUCUUGGUUGACUGGAGUUCUCUUUAUGCCCCAACUAUCAAGAUUUAGGGCAGGGGGAUAAAGGGGUAGCAGAGGAUGAGAUGGUUGGAUGGCAUCACUGACUCAAUGAACAUGAGUUGGAACAAACUCCAGGAGAGAUAGUAAAGGACAGGGAAGCCUGGCGUGCUGAAGUCCAUGGGGUCGCAAAGAGUAGGACAUGACUUGGCAGUUAAACAACUGCAACAAUCAAUAUCCUGGAACAUAUUGGUAAAGUUGUCAUAAGGGGAGAUUGGAAGCCACUAAAUGGUGUUUCAAGCACUUGCUCAGGGAGCCAGGGCUAUUAAAUCCUGCCCAUCAUACCAACUCACUCCUAAGUCUCUGAGGUUCAAGGACUAUGAUUAGUAUGUCAAAGGCUAAGGGAUAUCUGCACUGCCUCUUUUUAAUAAACUAAUUUAUUUCUUUGGUUGCAUUGGUUGGGUCUAAGCAUGUAGGAUUUUUCGUGGCAACAUGUGGGAUGUAGUUCCCUGACCAGGGUUUGUACCCAGGCCCUCUGCAUUGAGAGCAUGGAGUCUUGACCACUGGACCAUUAGGAAAGUCCCUGCCUUUAUUUUUGACCCAAAUCCCCAUGCAGAACUUCAACAGACUCAGCCAGAUCCUGGCAAAGACUCAGUUGUCCAGACUGAGGUCUAAGUCGUCGCAUUUCUCUCUGUCCAAACCUAAAUUUCAGAUUAUACUGCUCCACCAAGAAAAGCCAUAUUUACACUCCAGAUUGAUAAGAACCAGCACAGGGCCUUAAUUUCCUUGUAACAGUGGAUGCUUAUCUGUAAGCUCGAC